rnacentral:rRNA from 1 species
ACUCAAAGGAAUUGACGGGGGCCCGCACAAGCGGUGGAGCAUGUGGUUCAAUUCGACGCAACGCGAAGAACCUUACCUGGGCUCGAACGGCUACCGAUUGUUCUUGGAAACAGGGACUUUCCCGCAAGGGACGCGUAGUCGAGGUGCUGCAUGGCUGUCGUCAGCUCGUGUCGUGAGAUGUUGGGUUAAGUCCCGCAACGAGCGCAACCCUUGUCCUGUGUUGCUAGCCGCAAGGCGCACUCUCAGGAGACCGCCAGCGAUAAGCUGGAGGAAGGUGGGGAUGACGUCAAGUCAUCAUGGCCUUUAUGUCCAGGGCUACACACGUGCUACAAUGGCUGGUACAGAGCGUUGCCAACCCGCGAGGGGGAGCUAAUCGCAAAAAGCCAGUCCCAGUUCGGAUCGCAGGCUGCAACCCGCCUGCGUGAAGCUGGAAUCGCUAGUAAUGGCGUAUCAGAAUGACGCCGUGAAUACGUUCCCGGGCCUUGUACACACCGCCCGU